UUCAGGAGAAAGGUCCACUGGGAACGAUGGAGCAGCAGGGCUGAUACUCAAGGUCUGGGAAGCGCCACGCAGCAGGCACCGUGCUAGGAACUCUAUGGUGCUCAGACAUCUGAGGCUCACAUCAAAUCCACGCGUGCCCUGGGGGGAGACUUACGCCCGUGUUAUGACGGGUAAAUGGAGGCCGGGACAGACCGGGUGAGUGGCCCAGGGCACCCAGACAGGAGGUGGUAGAGCUGUGUAACCAGAGCCUGGGCACCGGGCGGGGCCCGGGAAGGAGGGAAGCAGAGUCCCAGCUUCCCGCGGGGCGCCCAGAAGAGCGCCAGACGUGGCAUGUGCGCUCGGAACGCCCCAGCAUUCCCCUGCAGGCCCUCCUCGUCUUUAGAAAUGUGGAUUUCCUCUACAUCUGAGGACCGAGGACACCAUCUCAGAAGGGAGCCGGAUACACAGACCCACAAAACUGCCCCUGUGGGUUUGUGCUGACUUCCUGGGGCCCUCCCACCACCGCCAGCACCGUGAGGAAGUGAGAAAUGCCAGUUUGCAGUUUACUCUUUCUGGACCCAACUGGGAACAGUCACAGAGGUUGAGAUUUGAACACAAAGACAAGAAGAAAUGCCAACCCCACCCGUCCAUCACACCGGUCAACUUACUCUCUCUGUUUUGAUCUGGAAUUUGGAUUUAAAAUGAAAACUGAUCCCGAUUCCCGCUCUGGCGGCAUUUGAGUUUGAGGACGUCGUGGAAGUGAGGGAGGAGGUAAACAUUGCCCUCUUCCCCUGCCCUCUCAUCCCUCCGUGGACCCAAGUUCAACCCUGAGUGAAGGAUGGAGCUGGGGGCUGGCUGUGCACAAGCCUCGCCACCUCCCCCCCCAUGCCGUGGUAUGGACAGGUGUCCCAGCAUCCUCCACGCAGGAUCCGGGAGCUGGGAAGCCACCGCCGUGGAGUUCGCAGGAGCCGAUUGACGUCUGCUCUCAAAGAGCUUUCAAAGGAAUGAAGCCAAACAGACAGGCCUGAAGUCAGGUCCUGUUUCAAAGUCCCAGGCUCUUCACUCCAGCAAAUGGGGGCGAACCACACCAAACCCGGGUCCUCAGAGCCACUGCCGUGUCAUCUUGUCCUCCCCGUCAUCCUGUCGUCCCUCUCCCAACACAGAGGUGGCUCCCUGCAGGUGGACGAGGCUCAGGGACAAAUAACGGCCACGUACUGAGGAAAGUUGGCUUUCACAGGCCACGCUCAUCCAGACAGACCCUUCCAUGAACACAGACAUCACUGUCCCCUAACCACAUUCUUUAAGACGAGUAUUUUCAAUUUAAAAUGGUUGUCAGUUUUGGAUGCUU